UCCGGUUUGUCACCGGCAGUCUCGCAUGAGUCCCCAACUGAAUGCUGGCAACAUGCGACGGGGGUUGCGCUCGUUGCGGGACUUAACCCAACAUCUCACGACACGAGCUGACGACAGCCAUGCAGCACCUCUAUGGCGGCCCCCGAAGGGGAAACUCUGUUUCCAGAGCGGUCCACCACAGUUCAAGCCCAGGUAAGGUUCUUCGCGUUGCAUCGAAUUAAACCAUAUGCUCCACCGCUUGUGCGGACCCCCGCCAAUUCCUUUGAGUUUCAAUCUUGCGAUCGUACUUCCCAGGUGGGAUACUUAAUGCUUUCGCUCAGACACACACAGUGUAUCGCGUAUGUCGAGUAUCCAUAGUUUAGGGCGUGGACUAC
rnacentral:misc_RNA from 1 species